AGGCAGUGUGGCAUAGUUAUAUCUUGGUGUUUGUGAGGCCAGGACUGGCAGAAAAAUCUUUCUUGUGGUGCUCACGUGAACAAGAACCCCAUGCAACAAAGCGUGUGGGGGAGAGAAGCAGAUCCUCACUGCAGUGAGAUGUGGCUUUCAACAGCUGGAGGUCUCCGUUCGUCCCAAGGUCACCCUUCUGCAACGCCCCCUGCCCCAGCACAGUAGCAGGAGCUAUGCAGUCAGCCUCACAGCAGUGAUUCAGAGUGAAGGAUGUGAUGUGAAGAACAUCUAUGGUGGCACAAGGAAACUUGCAGUUGUCAUUAGGGACAGUGCACCUGAUGAGGAGUGACUCACGGGAGGCAUCCCCCCAUCUGAUAGGCUACAGGGAGAAGCAUGGAGAGCUAACUGAGGAGCAUCCACUUCACACUCACGCAGACAAGGACAGUGCUUGAGCACAGUCUCUGUUCUCUGCAGAGCACAGGAGUGAAGCUUUGAAACUGGGACCCCAGGGAUGCCACCAUGCCCUCCUGCUCCACACACCCCCAGGAGCUCUGCUAUAUCACCACACUGCAAAGUAGGUUGACCUUGGUUAAAUGGGUCCAGAAAAUAUCUUCCUUGUUUUACUAGAAUGGCUGUCUUUCACGUGUCCUCUAGCUGCAGCCUGCAAUUUCCUGAGUCACUCCUUGGUUCUCUGUUGCAUUAAAUAAUUGCCUCAUGUUGGCUACUUUCCAGCAUUUAAGGGCUCACUGCUGGACUCCAUGAAUAUAUAACAUUGCCUGUCUGUCCCUGGUUCUUUUGAAUUGCUGGAGGAAAAGUAGUCAGCCCUUUCUCAGAGCUAAAACAAACAAGACCUCACUGUGGUUUGGUGCAAGUGUGUGUCCU
rnacentral:lncRNA from 1 species